AACAGGAUUAGAUACCCUGGUAGUCCAUGCCGCAAACGAUGUCUACUAGCCGUUGGGGCCUUUGAGGCUUUAGUGGCGCAGCUAACGCGAUAAGUAGACCGCCUGGGGAGUACGGUCGCAAGACUAAAACUCAAAUGAAUUGACGGGGGCCCGCACAAGCGGUGGAGCAUGUGGUUUAAUUCGAUGCAACGCGAAGAACCUUACCUGGCCUUGACAUACUAAGAACUUUCCAGAGAUGGAUUGGUGCCUUCGGGAACUUAGAUACAGGUGCUGCAUGGCUGUCGUCAGCUCGUGUCGUGAGAUGUUGGGUUAAGUCCCGCAACGAGCGCAACCCUUUUCCUUAUUUGCCAGCGGGUAAUGCCGGGAACUUUAAGGAUACUGCCAGUGACAAACUGGAGGAAGGCGGGGACGACGUCAAGUCAUCAUGGCCCUUACGGCCAGGGCUACACACGUGCUACAAUGGUCGGUACAAAGGGUUGCUGCCUCGCGAGAGGAUGCUAAUCUCAAAAAGCCGAUCGUAGUCCGGAUCGCAGUCUGCAACUCGACUGCGUGAAGUCGGAAUCGCUAGUAAUCGCGGAUCAGAAUGCCGCGGUGAAUACGUUCCCGGGCCUUGUACACACCGCCCGUCACACCAUGGGAGUUUGUUGCACCAGAAGUAGGUAGUCUAACCGCAAGGAGGACGCUUACCACGGUGUGGCCGAUGACUGGGGUGAAGUCGUAACAAGGUAACC
rnacentral:rRNA from 1 species